rnacentral:rRNA from 1 species
AACGAACGCUGGCGGCAGGCCUAAUACAUGCAAGUCGAGCGCACCUUCGGGUGAGCGGCGAACGGGUGAGUAACAUGUGGGAACGUGCCCUUCUCUAAGGAAUAGCCUCGGGAAACUGGGAGUAAUGCCUUAUAUACCCUUCGGGGGAAAGAUUUAUCGGAGAAGGAUCGGCCCGCACCUGAUUAGAUAGUUGGUGGGGUAACGGCCUACCAAGUCUACGAUCAGUAGCUGGUUUGAGAGGAUGAUCAGCCACACUGGGACUGAGACACGGCCCAGACUCCUACGGGAGGCAGCAGUAGGGAAUCUUGGACAAUGGGCGAAAGCCUGAUCCAGCCAUGCCGCGUGUGUGAUGACGGCCUUAGGGUUGUAAAGCACUUUCGCCAGGGAAGAUAAUGACGGUACCUGGUAAAGAAGUCCCGGCUAACUCCGUGCCAGCCGCCGCGGUAAUU